rnacentral:rRNA from 1 species
UUCAUGGAGAGUUUGAUCCUGGCUCAGGACGAACGCUGGCGGCGUGCCUAAUACAUGCAAGUCGAGCGGACCGACGGGAGCUUGCUCCCUUAGGUUAGCGGCGGACGGGUGAGUAACACGUGGGUAACCUGCCUGUAAGACUGGGAUAACUCCGGGAAACCGGGGCUAAUACCGGAUGCUUGAUUGAACCGCAUGGUUCAAUUAUAAAAGGUGGCUUCGGCU